CAGCAGCCACGGGAAUACGUAGGUGGCAAGCGUUGUCCGGAAUUAUUGGGCGUAAAGGGCUCGCAGGCGGUUUCUUAAGUCUGAUGUGAAAGCCCCCGGCUCAACCGGGGAGGGUCAUUGGAAACUGGGAAACUUGAGUGCAGAAGAGGAGAGUGGAAUUCCACGUGUAGCGGUGAAAUGCGUAGAGAUGUGGAGGAACACCAGUGGCGAAGGCGACUCUCUGGUCUGUAACUGACGCUGAGGAGCGGAAGCGUGGGGAGCGAACAGGAUUAGAUACCCCAGUAGUCCCUGUCUCUUAUAC
rnacentral:rRNA from 1 species